CAAAAAGUGAAAAGAAAAAAAUCCCAGAGAGCCUCAUAAAAUAGGUAGCUUUUCUAUGGCUCUGAGUCAUUCUUUUAUUUCAGCCAAUAUUUGGAAAACGCUACAACUCAUAGGAAUGCAGAGAAUGCAGAGUUGUAUAGUGGGAAGAACAAGACUUUGGAUUUCAGGCAGAUCAGGGUGACCUUGGGUAAAAUCUCUUAGUCUUGGUUCCCUUUUUUGUGAAAUAACUCAUGAUGUUUGAAAGUUAACCAUUAUAAAACCAGGCCACUACAAGGGACUUAAUAAAGGUGAGUUAUCCGCCUUUUCUCCUGUUCCCAAUUCCUUAACCCUCCGUGCUGUGUGCGCCUACCUACCACCAAAAGGAAAUGUGGAAAAGAAGAGUUGGUGAUCUAAUCUUCAUUUUCAACUUCAGUUAAGCCUAUAUAAUUAUUGCUUUCUUGUGUGCAUAAAGUUUAAUAUUCAGUGGUUCUUGGUGAUCUCUGCAUGUAGUGUGUGGUACACGUGGCCGUAUUUUCCAAACCAAAAAAACUGGGUCUUGUGGUCGUAACGAGAAGCGUAUACUUAGAAGGUCAAGAGAACAGCAGGUUUUACAGUAGUGCAGUCUCGGCGAAUCACAGGUGUGUUCUUAGGGAUCCAAAGGAAGCAGUACAAAGUCAUGGUUAGGAGGCACUGGAGUCCUCUAGACAUGAGUCUGAAUCUUGCCUCUUUCUCCUUCUUGCAAAAGUUACUUAACCUUUCCUUCUAAGCUUCAGCAUUUCCUCACAUGUAAAAUGGAUGUAAGGAAAAUUCCUUAUCUUUUGUGAGGUUUGCAUGAGAUAAAGGACCUAGCAUAGGGCCUGACAGGUAGUAAGUACUUAACUUUAUAUGCCAGCUGUUAAAUUAUUGCAAGACUUUUGGAACGUGUACAAUUAUUCAGUAACUUUUUUUUUUUUUUUUGCAAAAGCCUGUAGAGUAAAAAAAAUUCAAAAUAACUCACCGUUAGGAAUUCCCGUCGUGGCUCAGUGGUUAAUGAACCUGACUAGCAUCCAUGAGGAUGCGGGGUUUGAUUCCUGGCCCCACUCAGUGGGUUAAGCAUCUGGUGUGUUGCCGUGAGCUGUGGUGUAGGUUGCAGACUCAGCCUGGAUCCUGCGUUGCUGUGUCUGUGAUAUAGGCCAGCAGCUACAGCUCCAGUUGGACCCCUAGCCUGGGAACCUCCACAUGCUGCAGGUGCAGCCAUAAAAAGACAAAAUAAAAAACAAAAACAAAAACCCUCACUAUUUUGUAACUUACUGUAUAAUAAUUUCUUUAUCAGGCCUGGUAUAAAAAAGGCACAGAAAUAGUAAAAACCCAGUGCCCAACUUGGCAUACCCCUUGGGAAGACCUCACUUAUUUGCCUUUCUCACAGUAUUUCAGUAACGCCUAGCACCUAGUCCAUUGCCUCUAUGAUGAUCUCUCUGUAGCGUGGAUUUUUUUUGGCUCAUGUAACUUGUACUUGUCGCAGUGGUAGGACAGACUGCACUGUCUCAGGCUUCUUUCCCUGAGAUUCUCUUGGUUUCGCCCUCCCGGGGGUGUUGGCUUCAUCCUAGGCCAACAGCAAAAUAUGGGUAGCAUUUCUGGGCCCAAGAUCCAUUUAUGGCACCUACUAAAGGAGUAGAAAGAUGCUCUCUUCCGUCAUCCUAAGAGUGAGAAUUUUUCCCAGACCCCCUCAGAAUGCUAAUCCUGUAAUGUCAUUGGUCUGAAUUGGGUCAUGUGCCCAUUCCUGAACCACUGCCUGUCACCAGGGCAGUGCCAUGCCUUAUUGGCUUAGGCCUGGUUCUUGAACAGGUUUUUUAUUAAUUCAGGGCGUGAAAUUAUCUUCAGGCCAAUCAGAAAUAGAAUUGUGUUUCUGUUAGGAAGGGAGUUUUUCUGUGAGUAGGAGGAAUGGACUCUGAGUAGAUUGGGCAGUUAGGGAUUGUGUUGACUGCUGAUAACAGAGUUUUAAAUAAGACAAGUUAUUUAUUUUUUCUUUCAAAAAACGUUAAAACAAGCAGUCUCUUGCUGGCAUGGCGGUGCUACAGUCCAGAUCUUUCUGCUUCCCCAUCCUUGUCACAUGGUUGGCAUGCUCAUGGUCACCUUGUUGUCACAAAUGGGCUCCCGGCUCUCUAAUCAAACAGUCCUUCCUUGAAGCAGGAAGAAGUAGAAGGGAGGCCAAGGACACCCUUUAAAGCACCAGAAGCCCCAGCCAGAUGUAAACUAUUAAAAAUUAUCCAUUUUAGUCUGUGAGGAAGGCUGGUGAAUGUCAUUCUUAGCUGGGCACAUCCAUGUGCCCAGCAUCAGAGGGCUUCUGCUGCUGCGGAAGCGAGGGAAGUGGCCAUAGGCCUGGCAGCACGCAGCGCCCACCACCGGAGGCAGCCGGCAGCGUCCUCCAUCCCCUCCACUGGGAGGAAACCAGAGUUUUAUAUGUAUUUACUGUCUUUCUCUUUACGGUUUUUUAAUCAAAUAAUGAGACAUACUUUAUCUAACUUUUUGUAAUUCAUAUUUUCCAUUUAAUCACGAGUAUCUUUCCAUGUGAGUUAAUAUACAGUAGAAGCUUUUUAACCAAUCUCCACAUGAUGGAUGCUGACAGGCCAUUCUUACUAUAAAACCUGUGUUUAAUUCCCAUGGCCUUCUGAGUGUUCUCAGUUAACGACUAGGCUAUGCUGUCCAUUAUAAUAGCCACAGGCCACAGGUGACUGUUGGAAUUUUAGUUAAUUAAAAUUAAAUUGGAGUUCCCGUCAUGGCUCGGUGGUUAUUGAACCUGACUAGCAUCCAUGAGGGCACGGCGCCGGAUCCUUAACCCACUGAGCAAGACCAGGGAUCGAACCCAAAAGCUCAUGGUUCCUACUCAGAUUUGUUUCUGCUGAGCCUCCUCGGGAACUCCAAAUGUUGCCAAUUUUAUCCUUAGAAGUUUGCAUUAGUUUACAAUCUAAAUUUGAAGAGUGAACUGGCUUUCUUUUAAGUUACAAGAUACAGAGUUACUUAUAACCAAAUGUUUCAGGAAAGCUGCAAAGUGUCAGACCAGGUUGAAAAGCAAGCCCAAAUGGCUACAGUACAGAAUUUCAACAUUUGCCAAGGAAUAAGUGUAUUAAGAGGUUUUGAUUAGCUAAUUAUGUUUUUUCCUUAAAAACUAACAUGUUCAUCAAUACCCAAGAUACUUCUGUAUAUAUUCUAUGAAAUGCCAAAGGUAGAUCAACUUCCCUUUUCUCCUUUCCAUGUUUAUGUUUUCCUCAAAAUUGGAACUUUCAUCAAUCUACUUCUUUUCAAAAAUUCAUUGUGUUUAUUUGAAUAGACAAUAAACACAAUGAAUUUGAACACAAUUUAUUUGUACAUUUUAUGGUACAAAAUUCACAAGUUACUCAAAGAUAUAUGGUGGGAAUUCUACUUCUAAUCGUGGCAGUUUAGGUCAUUUGGAUCAGCCCUGCUGAUACAAGUUUAGAAAGCUGGGCAGAAUAUAAAAACAUUUUCUUGAAAACUUCAAAAAGUUUAGAAGAUAUUGAAGGACUGCAUACAAACAUCUGGAAGAAUGCAAAAAUCAAAACAAGUGUGCCAGCUACCAACAAUCAUUUUUACCCUGAAGGUAUCUGCUUAUCCUGAGAAAGCAUCUGUGAGCUUAAGCUGUACUUUGGUGGCUCUUCUAUGAAGGCAGAAUUCAUGGUUUGUUGUCUGUCAAGGAUAGACACAAGUAAACCACUUUGCCAGUUUGAAUAGAACCCCUAAGGACAUGAGGGGGAUCUUGAACUAAACCAGCCCUCACACAGCCCUGCAACCAAGCUUCCAGGCCUGGGGAAGCUUUGUGUUGAUUGUCCUAAGCUAAUAGCAUCAUUGGGCAGCUUACAAAAGCAAGGGAAAAUCCUCUCUAGAGGAAAAUGUUAUCAUCCUAAGCAUCAAAAUCAUCCCCUAAGUGACUUUUGAACUUAAUGAACAGCACCUUAAAACAAAAAACAAAACAAAACAGGUUCACAAGAAGACACCCAUGAAAAGAACUAGAACAUGAAAACAAUAAAAACAUCUUCGGAAUGAAAUAUUGUGAAUAUCAGACACAGACUGUAGAAUAAU
rnacentral:lncRNA from 1 species